rnacentral:rRNA from 1 species
UCCAGAGGUCUCAAGCGUUGUUCGGAAUCACUGGGCGUAAAGGGUGCGUAGGCGGCACGGUAAGUCAGAGGUGAAAUCCCGGAGCUCAACUUCGGAAUGGCCUCCGAUACUGCCGUGCUUGAGGACUGGAGAGGAGUCUGGAAUUCACAGUGGAGCAGUGAAAUGCGUAGAGAUUGUGAGGAACACUAGUGGCGAAGGCGAGUCUCUGGACAGUUCCUGACGCUGAGGCACGAAGGCGAGGGGAGCAAACGGG